GCGAAUGGCUACAGCGGCGGCGUGCGUUGAAC
rnacentral:scRNA from 1 species